rnacentral:lncRNA from 1 species
CAUCUGUCUCAUCGAGUCAUACAUGUGUUGUGAAUUUGGUUUGAUUAUCCUACUCCCACAUUUCCAUUCUGAGCCAAUGUGUUUUGUUCCAGCAGGUUCUUGGGAAAUAAAGGGUUAAGAAAAGGUUUUCUAAUUUUAAUUUUUUUUAGUUUUGAUGUCUUAUAUAUUGCUUUUAUGUUUGUCCAUUACAUCCCACUAUUUUUGGCAUCCUUUAAAAAAAGAAGAAUAAGAAGGCCCAGUUCCACUCCCUUCUGUAUGAAACCUUAGCAUGAAGGCAUCUGAUCUGUAGGUGAUUUGACUACAACAUGUUCACUUCUCAAGAGAAGAUGUCCUUUACUGACAUCCUUUCUUAACUGCUGUUGUUAACACUUUUAUCCACACCCCUCUUUCUGAAGCAGUGUGACAUUUCUGGGGCAAUACUUGCCUGAGCUUCAGCUAGUAGAUUUCAUAUCUAUUCUUCAGUUUUGCCUACAGAGUUACGGUGCAGAUAAGGAGAACCUUAUUAAAUGUGGCUGAACCGUGCUGCGGAGUCUUAGUCAUGUGUCAGUAGAUGGCGCUCUUUCUAUGGAAACCGGCUUCUUGUGUUCUUUAACAUCUCUUGCAUCUUUGUGUAACACGUCCCUGAGACCAGCAUUUUUAGCUCUGCAGGACAUUUAGAAGCAAAGGAGCUUCAGCAAAAGGUGGGAACUGGGAACCAAAACAUGAAGAAAAAGGAACUUUCCUAGGUGGAUAUAAUCAGAGCAUUCAGUAAUGUUCAGCCUGACCAGACUGCUCUUCCUACCUUGUUGCACAGAAGACAACAUUAAAACUAUGCUGCUCAAGUAAUGCACAGUGUGUGGUGACAAACCGAUAAAAGUCUUGCCCUGCUUGCCUCUGAGAGCAGCUUGCCAUCUCUUCUUGCCUCCCAUUCCACGAGUUUUCUUUCAAAGCCUUUGAGAAUUCUGUUGCCUAGUUAAGAAUCAUACCCUCGAGUGAAAGAAGUUCUGUCAUCCUCCAUACAGGCUGCCUCCGGUUCAUGAACAGGCUAGCUUAGAAGAAAGAAAUGCAAGAGCAUAUUUUUGCUCACAUUGGAACCCAGAAGCAUACAUCCUGAUACGAGAUUUAUUAGAGCCAGCUGAGAGUAAGGAAGAAGCUAGAAGGAUAACAGUGAGGCCGCUUCUCAGUGGUAAGUAUGCGGAGCUUGAAGCUGAAACCGGGAUACAUUUUUAAUGAUGCAUCAGGCAGAGCUGUGUUUCUUUAACUAAGACUAGGCAAUGAAUAGAGGCUCUGCAAACUGUCUAGUAUGCCACAAAUGCAUUAUUUACAGCAGCAGCUUCUUUAUCCAUUUUAAUUUUAAAUAAGCUUCACAGUGUGAUCUAAAAAGAAGAAUAACUGCU